UUUUUCAUGCAUGAUACAAAUAACUCAAUCAUCAAUAUCGGCAUAUCAUACAUGAUAUUCAAGCAUUCAUGAUAAAUCAUUUUGGCAACAUGAUCAUAGCUAUUCAAAUGAUAGUAUCUAAAUGUCAAAAUUCAUUACAUCCUAUCAUGCAUGAUCAUUAACUUCUUAUUUGAAUUUCAUGCAUUAUUUUGUUUCAUCACAUAAGGAAUAUCAAGAAGAGUUAUUGGGUGAUGAGAUAAAUAUUUCAUGAGUACAAGGAAUUGCAUGAAAAUCAUAUCAUGAAAAGAUAAUACCAAAAGACACAUUUUCUUUUGAAAAAUCUCCUCUUAAAUAAU
rnacentral:lncRNA from 1 species